GACGAACCGUCCAAACGUUAUUCGGAAUCACUGGGCUUACAGAGUUCGUAGGCGGUCUGGAAAGUUGGGUGUGAAAUCCCUCGGCUCAACCGAGGAACUGCGCUCAAAACUACCCGACUCGAGGGAGAUAGAGGAAAGCGGAACUGAUGGUGGAGCGGUGAAAUGCGUUGAUAUCAGCAGGAACACCGGUGGCGAAGGCGGCUUUCUGGGUCUUACCUGACGCUGAGGAACGAAAGCUAGGGGAGCGAACGGG
rnacentral:rRNA from 1 species